GAUGAACGCUGGCGGCGUGCCUAAUACAUGCAAGUCGAGCGAACAGACGAGGAGCUUGCUCCUCUGACGUUAGCGGCGGACGGGUGAGUAACACGUGGAUAACCUACCUAUAAGACUGGGAUAACUUCGGGAAACCGGAGCUAAUACCGGAUAAUAUAUUGAACCGCAUGGUUCAAUAGUGAAAGACGGUUUUGCUGUCACUUAUAGAUGGAUCCGCGCCGCAUUAGCUAGUUGGUAAGGUAACGGCUUACCAAGGCAACGAUGCGUAGCCGACCUGAGAGGGUGAUCGGCCCCACUGGAACUGAGACACGGGCCAGACUCCUACGGGAGGCGGCAGUAGGGAAUCUUCCGCAAUGGGCGAAAGCCUGACGGAGCAACGCCGCGUGAGUGAUGAAGGUCUUCGGAUCGUAAAACUCUGUUAUUAGGGAAGAACAAAUGUGUAAGUAACUAUGCACGUCUUGACGGUACCUAAUCAGAAAGCCACGGCUAACUACGUG
rnacentral:rRNA from 1 species